ACACAAACAAUAAGAUAAAGUUGAAUAGAGAUGUAAGUGAUAUU
rnacentral:guide_RNA from 1 species